AGUGAACGCUGGCGGUAGGCCUAACACAUGCAAGUCGAACGGCAGCACAGUAAGAGCUUGCUCUUACGGGUGGCGAGUGGCGGACGAGUGAGGAAUACAUCGGAAUCUACUUUUUCGUGGGGGAUAACGUAGGGAAACUUACGCUAAUACCGCAUACGACCUACGGGUGAAAGCAGGGGAUCUUCGGACCUUGCGCGAUUGAAUGAGCCGAUGUCGGAUUAGCUAGUUGGCGGGGUAAAGGCCCACCAAGGCGACGAUCCGUAGCUGGUCUGAGAGGAUGAUCAGCCACACUGGAACUGAGACACGGUCCAGACUCCUACGGGAGGCAGCAGUGGGGAAUAUUGGACAAUGGGCGCAAGCCUGAUCCAGCCAUACCGCGUGGGUGAAGAAGGCCUUCGGGUUGUAAAGCCCUUUUGUUGGGAAAGAAAAUCAGCAGGUUAAUACCCCGCUGUUCUGACGGUACCCAAAGAAUAAGCACCGGCUAACUUCGUG
rnacentral:rRNA from 1 species